rnacentral:rRNA from 1 species
ACAGAGCCCGUGAAUCCGGGCGUGUGGAAUUCAGGACCGACGGGCGGACCUUCGGGUUCGUUCGUCGAUUCGAUAUUUCCGCCGUCGACCCUCAACCGAGGGUGUCGGACGUCGCGACCCGUUCGCCGAAGCCGAUGCUGAGGGGUGCGUUUCAAGUUCGCCUGCGCGGCCGUUUCGGCGGUCGUGCGACGAUGACGCGCUUCCGCUGCCCAUCGGUGCGGACGGUAGCUUUGCGCGCGGGUAUUCGAUGCAGCCCUUGCCCGUCGUCUCGUACGUCGGGCGGUGCUCGCAUCGACGCCGGUCAGCGAAGAAUCUUCGGGCCUCUUUCCGACCCGUCUUGAAACACGGACCAAGGAGUCUAGCGUGCGCGCGAGUCGCGGGGUAUCCGAGUCGUUGUAGUCGUUUCGGCGGCGAACGCGACUCGUCACGAUACGAAACCCGUGUACGUACGUUGUGCGAAGGCGUAAUGAAAGUGAAAGGUGGCGCUUCGCGCGUCACCGGGGGAAGACGGUGUUCCGAGUUCACGUUUCGCAAACAUAUGUGUUUGCGGCCGGACACCCGCAUUCCCAGGGCGUCCCUCUCGUACGUCGGUGGUCGGAGUUCGCGCUUCGAUCGUCGACGAACUGGGGCGCACCUACAGCGUGCACGCUGGUACCCGAAAGAUGGUGAACUAUGCCCGGCCAGGAU